UUAAACGGGGGCAGGGGCAUGUCCAAAGGUAGUUAAAUUAAUGGACCAGUAAUUUUGGUUCAUACAUUAAAAAGUGAAGGGGCUGACGAGUCUUUAACUGUCUCUAUUUACAAACUCAUUGGAAAUUUAGUUGGAAGGGCAAACGCUUUCGGGGGGGAGAAAGAAGAGAAGACCCUAUGAAGUUUAUUUAGUGAACCUUGGGGAGGGUUUAGGCCCAAGCGUCCUGAGGGUGGCUUUUCUUGGGGCAGCAGGAGAGCAGAACGAGACUCGGACCUGGUUUAAGAAGUUGAUAUACUUGGGAUCCACCAAAAAAAAGGGGGC
rnacentral:rRNA from 1 species